rnacentral:rRNA from 1 species
UACGUAGGGUGCGAGCGUUAAUCGGAAUUACUGGGCGUAAAGCGUGCGCAGGCGGUUCGUUGUGUCGGUGGUGAAAUCCCCGGGCUUAACCUGGGAAUGGCCAUGGAAACUGGCGAACUGGAGUGCGGCAGAGGGGGGUGGAAUUCCGCGUGUAGCAGUGAAAUGCGUAGAGAUGCGGAGGAACACCGAUGGCGAAGGCAGCCCCCUGGGCUAGCACUGACGCUCAGGCACGAAAGCGUGGGGAGCAAACGGG